AAUAAAGCAGUGAUUUCCGUAACUUCUGCGUUGCUGCCCCACCCCGGGUUAUUUCCUGCCUUGCGCCCGUAGCGGUGGGGAUAGAAAAUGCAUGUAUUUAUGGAUAUCCGUAACUAUUUACAAAAUGCAAUAAUCAGAAAGAUGAAUGAAAGUGAAGAAUGGCACAAAGUGCGUCAAGUGGCGUGACCUCCUCCCGUAAAUGACGAGCAGGUGCGGGGGCGGAGUACCCACCAGGAGCCGUGAGAGAUUUCCCAGUGGGUGGCGACACAUGGCGCUGAGGAAGAAAGGAAGAAGCGAAAAAAGGGACCAGAGGAGGAUGGAUCAACGUCCAUGAAAAAUCCAUCGUUAAACAAACGCUGAAGGUGAAAAAAGCUUUUGCGUGCUAACUGUCAUGACCUGCUCGUCGGCUCCUCCUGUGUGCCAUGCCCCCUGCUUACCCACGUGUGUUUCCCGGAUUGUACCCAGCUGUGUCUGCUUAUUUUCAAUCAGUCCUGUGUAUUUCAGUCCGUGUCUUACCCGAGUCCUUUGUCCGUCAUUGAUGUUACGUGAUGUCAGUCGGCGUGCCAUGUUCCCCAGUCCGCGUAAUUAUAAUAAAUCCCCGUUCACCCUGCUUACGCCUGCUCGCGUGCUUCCUUCCUGCUCGCCUGCCAGCGCGUUCGCCCGCUUCCCGGACGAUCGUAACACUAACCUUACAACACUGACUGGUUCACGACCUAAUGUAGCUAGCUAGCACAUGUGGUUGACCCUACAGUAUGUCAUACAGUCCAAAUGCUUUGGGUCAUAGUGUUAUUAACAUGCUGUUCUUAAUUGAAAAAGUAAAUAAAGAAAGUGGGAUUUCCUCAUUCCAAAGCUCAAACUCAUGUAUAAUCCUGUCUACAGAGAAAGACAUUCUUAUGCAGGUGGUGGAGUGGGACUGUCUUUAAAAACGUUUGGUAGUAACUAAAAUGAUAAUAAACACUGGUAUCAUGUGAACAACACACAUAAAUGUCAGGUUUCUCACCAAGUGCUGGCAUGGCGCUAAUACUUUAUCUUUUGUUUUCUGAAAUAGCGUUAUGCUAAUAACCCUACAAACGCAGUGCAUUUUAGGCUACGUGACAUACAUUAGGGCCGGCCACAUGUGCUAGCUAGCUCACACCUACAGAUAUUGUUCUCAUAGCCCAAGGCAGCGUUGUAAGCAGGGACAGAGUGGGAUGGUGACGGUAUCUGACAGUGACUCAUUGGCGUUUAUCGCCUUUGUCAAGCUAGUAGGCUUCCACAAACCAAACAAGAAAACAGAAAGAUUUAUGAUUUGGCUUUUAGUUCAGCCUUCUAGCUGAACUAAAAAAUAAAACACACUAACUACUACUUUUUCACUACUGGCCUGCAGAGAGUUUAAUUCUUUCUGAGGUGGUAUAUGGUGUAAAAAAUCCUAGACCCCAGCAUUUGACGGUUUUAGGCAGCCUGCAACAUGUUUUUUACGUAUUAUUUUAAUUUCCCAGAGAGACUAAAAAAUAUGAUGCAAUGUGGAAAUACCGAAUUUUCUAUAGGUGUGAAUGGUGUGUGAGUGAAUGGUGUGUGAGUGAAUGGUGUGUGAGUGAAUGGUGUGUGAGUGAAUGGUGUGUGAGUGUGCCCUGUGAUGGGUUGGCGCCCCUUCCUGGGUUAUUCCCUAUGUCCGUAGGUGCCGAGAUAGACUCCGGACUCCCAUGACCCCGAAUAUAACAAGCGGGUACAGAAAAUGGAUGUAUGGAUGGAUGGAAGUUAACAUAUUUGAACAUCACCGGUUUGUAAGAUGCUCAUUCUACUUUAGAGUGAAGACUUGUUGGUUAGAAUGAUCUCCAUAGCAACGCUUAAGUCAUCCUGAGGAAGCAUAUAUUCACUAGUAUUUGUCGAGUUACCCGUUAUGAGAGCUGCUUUACAAAUGUUGCUUCUUCCUGAAUCGGAUUGAUACCACUGCUCUCUGCCUAUGAGAUUCCGGAAUAAACAGAGGAGAUUUCUGCCAAGAAGGUUUGAUGUGCCUUUUUAGUGUUUGAUGAUGCUACCUUCAUGGCAGCUAUGACAGAUGGGUUUCCCUGUCUUUGUAAACCAGAAGAGGCCCAUUCAGUUGUCUGGUACUGCAGGAGACAUACUGGCAGCAAGGACAAUAAGGCUCUGAAAGACGUGUCAGUGAUAGACUGGUGAGUUCGGCCAUACAAUGGAUCUCAAAACCGCUUUUCCAUCCGCCUCUUCAGACUCCUCGUCUUUCGGGCGCUGAAGGCAGACUCUGGAUGCUACAUCUGCAGUAGGAAAUGAAAACACUUUUUCUACACCCAUGACCGAGGCAGGACACUCAGUGCCUCCGACACUGAAGAAAGGGACACGGAUCCUUUUUGAAAACCAGGUCUUUUAAUGGGGAGCAAAUGCAGUGAGACAGAAAUGGGUCGAGUUUUGGAAUUCAAAUCGUGAGGUUGUGGCAAGAGUCGAUGGGCACUGGCGAUCAGAGGGCUGGGUGGGCUUAUAAUUGGUGGUCCAGGCAAAGGUCGGGCGAUGUGCAACGCCGGUCAGCAGGCUAUGCAAACGCUCAAAGUCUGGGAAUGAAGCGAAAACACAUACACUGGUAGACAGAACCAAUACUGAGGAAAUACUGCUCAAACUCUGGAAGAACAAGAAGAUCUCACAUCUCAUGGGAAUCUAUGACGAGGAAAUUGGACACAGCUGAGAAGGGUCAUGGCACCAAAUAGGAUCCAGCAGUGUAACUAAGCUACCUGUCCCGAGUGGGCGGUGCUUGCUUUUAAUUUAAUUAGCAGGUUAUUAUUAAUACACAAAAUUUACUGACGAUUGAAUAAUUGAAUAUUGAUUUGAAUUUAUAUUGCCAAUUAAGUACAAAAGCGGGGUACAAAAGCAGGCGUUAUGGUGAAACAAAAGAGAGUUUAUUGAACUCAAAGAUCAGAGAGUAGGACAAUAGGAAUCUUGGGGGAAAAUAGUACUUUUUUGAAAAGUAUAAGCUCACAAUAGAAAGAGCCUAAACCUGUACUUUUCUGGAAACAGUGAUGGAGGAACUUAUAAUAUUCAUUCCCUGUUGCUGUUUUUUGUGGUACUUCUGCAUUUUUUUCUUUAAAAUCCAUCUGCACUCACUCAUUUCUAAAAUAUGGGUCUUCUCUCCUUACAUGAUUUCUGCCGUAUUGUAAUACAACCCCCUGCGGUACAUUUUUGACUUAUUAAAAAUAAAUAAAUUGGAAUGUCACACAAUUCAGUUAUAACGUGGAGGUUCACCCAGUUGUCGGCAGCACAUUACCCUGCGCUGGUGCCUUGUAGCCUCUUGUUGAUGUUUUUAGCAUUCCUCUUUUAUAACAACACUUUCUGAUGAAAUGGUAGCGACGGAAAUAUUUCUGAGUAUUACAAACGGAAAAAUGAUUAGGGUCAAAACAUUAUGUGGUGUUACCCUGACACAUAGAGGCUUUGAGUUAAAUUGUAAACCAGUGUUUCCCAGCCUGGUUCACUGAGUCCCCCCCCAGACAGACCCUGAGGACUAGGUUGAGAAACAGGCUGUAGGCUACCAUAAUAUUAAUAUUCAUUCCCAAACACAUCCAUUUAAUAAAAAUCGUUUAGCGUUCCAGGUAUUGUGUAUUCAUAUUUUGAAAAUGAUCCCAUAUUUGUUGGGGGUGUUCCCUGUGUUAUAUAAAAUACUGUACAACUUCAUGUCUAGAGGCAACAGAAGGAGUCAGUUCCUAAUGGUGAUCAGGCCCAUUCUCGUAUAAUCCUACUUUUUCUUUCAGUUAACCACAGAAGGAAUCAUUACCAGUAAUACUAACAGCCAGUGUAAACUGAUCUGUACCAUGUCGCUCCAGGGCUGAAAGAUCUGCUUCUGGUUCAGUGCGGCAGCUGAAUUUUCUCACAAGGUGGCGCUAAAAGCACAAUAUUUCCAAAAGUGCUCAUGUGACUUAUUGUGUGAUCAGACGUUCGGAUUACAGACAACUUUUGUCAUUAUGUAUGCUGCAGCAUUUUGGCAUACGAAUUUAGUGUCAAGAGCAAAUCUUUUAUUUUAGAGAUGACAGCAAAUUAACAAGAAAAAAUGUUCAUAAUUUGGUGAGAUCAGAUGUGUCUUGGCCCUCUUGGUAAUUGCUCCAUGUUUUUGGCAGGUCGGCAAGGCUAGAUACUGUCAUGCCCGGCUCAUCCGAUCCUCGUGUGUGCCACACCCCCUGAUUAUCCAUGUGUGCUUCCCCAAUCAUGCCCAGCUGUGCCCUGUUAUUUUGCCCUGUCUUUGUCUAUAUCAAUCCACAUCUUGCCCUGUCCGAGGUCCGUCACUGAUGUUAGUGAUGUUAUCAGAUGUUUUGUAACGUUGAGAUGUCCUGGUCUUCCCGUAUCUCCCAUGUCUUGCCCCUAAUAAAU